rnacentral:misc_RNA from 1 species
UCGCUUUAUCCACUCUAAACGAUUGUUGGUUAAAUCCUCAUAAAUGUGUAAGGAAUGCUGAUAAGAACAUGUUCACAAUAUUAUUUUUUGGUUUGCUGCAGAAGAGGAGGAUGACAAAUAAAAAUUUUUAUGCAUUUUUAUGAAUUUUAAUUGACAGAUAGUUAACACCGUCAAUUUUGGGUCUCUUUAUACCUUUUUUUAAUUAUUAAGGGUUUAAAUGGCCCAAAAAAAUUGACAAGGGCUUAGGUGACUAUUGGG